UCUGCCUUCCCUUGACCAUUAGCUCCAGCUAAUAGGACCAGUUUGAACGUGCUCAGGUUAGCCAGAGACAAAGAGCUUGGCUGAAUUUGCUCCGGAGUUUCAAAAGAGAGUUGUGUGCCGGGGAGGGAAAAGCUGGAGCGAGUCUAUUUCAAUUGUUGGUGGUAAGGGGUAGAGGAGCAGACACACGGCAUAACGCAGCGAGCUUUCCGCAGACGGCGCUAAUGACUGAACAACAGUCUGAUGUGGAAGAACUAAAACCUGUAAGGGCUGUCAAUAAAAAAGAAAACAAAGGUUUCCUCCUCCUCAGGUGUUGGAUGCAUUUAUUUGAUUUCUGAAAACUCUCAGAGCACUAGACAGCAUUAAAAAAGAGCGAUCAGUUUUGCAUUAAUUGUAGAAGCGUGUGGCUUUGUGAGAGCAACGGAUGUAAACAAACCCUGCCAUCAAAGAGAUGCUGCCAGAAAAUCUGAAUUAUCAAAAAAGGGGAGUAAUAAUGUAAAGCUUGCUAGUCAGAUGGUCAUUAUUGUAACUUUGCUCCAGUAACUGAAGGCCCUUCCACCUACGUGGCUGCUCCUUCCAGGUUGCAGUGCCCCCUUCCCUCAGCUGGCCUCUCCGGGCUGGAGCAGCCCUCCACCCAACACAGGUCAGAUGGAGAGUAUGGUGCAGAGGAAAAGAAGAAGGCAGGAAAAUCACCCAGUGUAUUGCCACAGACCCCUUCUAAUGAGGUUGAAUAUUUUGAUGACCGGAAAAAAGUUGGUGCUGCCAGGUAAUGUCAGAUAAAAAAUUGCUGAGACCCAUCCAAGCAAACUAGUAAGAAAAUAAAUAUUUAAUACACUUAAUAUCCAGAUUGUGGCCCAGUUUGUGCAGCUGCACAAGGGAAUAAUGGAGUGUCAGACA